rnacentral:rRNA from 1 species
CCUACGGGUGGCAGCAGUGAGGAAUAUUGGUCAAUGGACGAGAGUCUGAACCAGCCAAGUAGCGUGCAGGAUGACGGCCCUCUGGGUUGUAAACUGCUUUUAGUUGGGAACAAAAAAGGCGACGUGUCGCCUCUGGAGUGUACCAUCAGAAAAAGGACCGGCUAAUUCCGUGCCAGCAGCCGCGGUAAUACGGAAGGUCCAGGCGUUAUCCGGAUUUAUUGGGUUUAAAGGGAGCGUAGGCGGACGAUUAAGUCAGCUGUGAAAGUUUGCGGCUCAACCGUAAAAUUGCAGUUGAAACUGGUUGUCUUGAGUGCACGCAGGGACGUUGGAAUUCAUGGUGUAGCGGUGAAAUGCUUAGAUAUCAUGAAGAACUCCGAUCGCGAAGGCAUAUGUCUGGAGUGCAACUGACGCUGAGGCUCGAAAGUGCGGGUAUCGAACAGGAUUAGAUACCCGAGUAGUC